rnacentral:rRNA from 2 species
CCGGGAUUGCCUCAGUAACGGCGAGUGAAGCGGCAAGAGCUCAAAUUUGAAAGCUGGCCCCUCCGGGGUCCGCAUUGUAAUUUGCAGAGGAUGCUUCGGGCUCAGCCCCCGUCUAAGUGCCCUGGAACGGGCCGUCGGAGAGGGUGAGAAUCCCGUCUGGGACGGGGUGCCUGGGUCCAUGUGAAGCUCCUUCGACGAGUCGAGUUGUUUGGGAAUGCAGCUCUAAAUGGGUGGUAAAUUUCAUCUAAAGCUAAAUACUGGCCGGAGACCGAUAGCGCACAAGUAGAGUGAUCGAAAGAUGAAAAGCACUUUGAAAAGAGAGUUAAACAGCACGUGAAAUUGUUGAAAGGGAAGCGCUUGCGAUCAGACUCGCCUGCGGGGUUCAGCCGGCAUUCGUGCCGGUGUACUUCCCCGUGGGCGGGCCAGCGUCGGUUCGGGUGGCCGGUCAAAGGCCCCGGGAAUGUGUCGCCCUCCGGGGCGUCUUAUAGCCCGGGGUGCCAUGCGGCCUACCUGGACCGAGGAACGCGCUUCGGCUCGGACGCUGGCGUAAUGGUCGUAAGCGACCCGUCUUGAAACACGGACCAAGGAGUCUAACAUCUACGCGAGUGUUUGGGUGGCAAACCCAUACGCGCAGUGAAAGCGAACGGAGGUGGGAACCCUUCGGGGCGCACCAUCGACCGAUCCUGAUGUCUUCGGAUGGAUUUGAGUAAGAGCGUAGCUGUGGGGACCCGAAAGAUGGUGAACUAUGCCUGAAUAGGGCGAAGCCAGAGGAAACUCUGGUGGAGGCUCGCAGCGGUUCUGACGUGCAAAUCGAUCGUCAAAUUUGGGUAUAGGGGCGAAAGAC